UGGGGAAUUUUGGACAAUGGGCGAAAGCCUGAUCCAGCAAUGCCGCGUGUGUGAAGAAGGCCUUCGGGUUGUAAAGCACUUUUGUCCGGAAAGAAAUCCUUGGCUCUAAUACAGUCGGGGGAUGACGGUACCGGAAGAAUAAGCACCGGCUAACUACGUGCCAGCAGCCGCGGUAAUACGUAGGGUGCAAGCGUUAAUCGGAAUUACUGGGCGUAAAGCGUGCGCAGGCGGUUUGCUAAGACCGAUGUGAAAUCCCCGGGCUCAACCUGGGAACUGCAUUGGUGACUGGCAGGCUAGAGUAUGGCAGAGGGGGGUAGAAUUCCACGUGUAGCAGUAAAAUGCGUAGAGAUGUGGAGGAAUACCGAUGGCGAAGGCAGCCCCCCUGGGCCAAUACUGACGCUCAUGCACGAAAGCGUGGGGAGCAAACAGGAUUAGAUACCCUGGUAGUCCACGCCCUAAACGAUGUCAACUAGUUGUUGGGGAUUCAUUUCCUUAGUAACGUAGCUAACGCGUGAAGUUGACCGCCUGGGGAGUACGGUCGCAAGAUUAAACUCAAGGAAUUGACGGGGUCAUAGCUGUUUCCU
rnacentral:rRNA from 1 species